rnacentral:rRNA from 1 species
AUUGAACGCUGGCGGCAGGCCUAACACAUGCAGGUCGAGCGGAUGAAGGGAGCUUGCUCCUGGAUUCAGCGGCGGACGGGUGAGUAAUUCCUGGGAAUCUGCCUGUUAGUGGGGGAUAACGUCCGGAAACGGGCGCUCAUACCGCAUACGUCCUGAGGGAGAAAGUGGGGGAUCUUCGGACCUCACGCUAUCAGAUGAGCCUAGGUCGGAUUAGCUAGUUGGUGGGGUAAAGGCCUACCAAGGCGACGAUCCGUAACUGGUCUGAGAGGAUGAUCAGUCACACUGGAACUGAGACACGGUCCAGACUCCUACGGGAGGCAGCAGUGGGGAAUAUUGGACAAUGGGCGAAAGCCUGAUCCAGCCAUGCCGCGUGUGUGAAGAAGGUCUUCGGAUUGUAAAGCACUUUAAGUUGGGAGGAAGGGCAGUAAGUUAAUACCUUGCUGUUUUGACGUUACCAACAGAAUAAGCACCGGCUAACUUCGUG